CAUGCAGUACACAUACAUACAUUCAGGCACACAUUCAUAAAAAAUAAAAUAUGUAAAAUACCCCCAAAAUUAAAUAAGGAUACAUAUAGCCACCUGUGUGGGAUAAAGCUGUUAUAUUACAAUCUUCAUUUCAAUAUGAUUUCUUCUAUAGAAAAAAAACUGUCUUUCUAUGUGAAAACAUAGGUGGGAGAACAAAAGUAUUCUCCAAGUCAGUACAGAAAAUGUUGGUUACUUAGAUAGGUUUCUAUUGAUAUGAUAAGGACUAUGAAUAGAAGAAACUUGUGAUGGAGAGGGUUUAAUAAUCUUACAACUCUCAGGCCACGGUCUGUCACUGAGAGCACUCAAGGCAGGAACUGAAGGCAGGAACCUGAAGGCAGGAACUGAAGCAGAAGCUUUGGAGGAAUGCCACUUACUAGCUUUCUCACCAUGGUUUGCUCCCCCUGUUUUCAUAUACAACCAGGACUAACUGCCCAGGGGUGGCACCAACUACAGUGAGUUGCGCACAGUCACUAAUGAAGAAAAUGCCCCACAGCCUUUCUACAAGAUAAAGAUACCUUCGCCCAUACCCAGCAGGAAGCGAUUUCAAGAAUGUGACGCCCACAUUCCCAAAGAGGUGGUGUGUGUGGGGGGUGGUGGUUUUUUUGGUCUUUUAAUGGGUCUUGGGUCUGGGAUAAUUUUCAUUGAUUGAGGGGGUUGGUUACAAGUUGUCAAGGGUUAGGAAAAGGGUUAGCAAAGGAGAUUAGAUUUAAGGUUCUUAUUUUAAAAAAAAAGAAAGAAAGAAGGAAAGAAAAGAAAAAUGUAAAUACUUUACAUUGGAUUGGAUCGUUUUAUAUUGUAUACAAGUUAUAUACAUUGAAAUUGAUAUUGUUAGAAAAUGCUAUAUGUAUAUUUCUAAUUGUACCGUUCAUUUAACAAUGUAAUGCAAUUUUCUGAUCCUUGAAUGUUGUUAUUACCAACUAUUAGGAUAUAAAAAAAUGAAAGUUAGUAGUUAGACAUUAUAAUAGAACUUGUAGUUAUAUUAGGUGUGUUUUAAAGAUUGAGUACAUAUAUUUUAGAUAGACAGGUUAUCUUCAGACCCUUCAGAGAUCUACAGAAUAUGACAUUUAAAAUGUUUUAGUAACUUAGAAAACUUUUCUUUUUUGUUAUGACUAUGAAACAUGCCGGCUCCUGGCAGUACCAAUCUACUUCAGAGAAAAUAUGGGCAUUGAAAAAACUGCAAUUGGAGUUAACUUCCAUUGUGGCAAAAGUUAGCCACUGGACAACAAAGUAUCCUCAAAUCAACUGCUGACAAACAGGACAGACAGGACACGAAACAAAGGACUACUGAUUCUUGUCAAAACAAGUGUGGUUAUGGACAAUAUGGCACCAUCUCUGAAGUGACCUUCCCAAUCCGGGAAAAGUACAGUGCCCUUUUCUUCGAAGGCAGCUGAACAGGCAGUGGGCCGAUGGCUUCUGAUGUGCAAUGGGACAGUGGCUGAAACAGUUAUUCUUCAAGAGUAAUUAAGCGCACGUCUCUCAACAGUAGAAUGGCAUUUAAUAGAGGGAUGUGGAGAAGAACGGGAUGCUGAGAUGAAGCCACAUACACACAUAGCCAAGAAGAAUGGACAGCUGAAUUCAAAAAAACAUCAACAAUUUCCAGAAUUUAAAAUCCUGAAUCAUGACAGGACACUAGUGGAAUUCAGGUGUUUCUGGUAUAUAGACUGCUCUCACACCAAUGUGAGAUUGAACUGUUGACCUUGUGUACAUCCUGCUUCCCAAAUACGCUAAGAUACGCUAAGCCUAUAGGCUGAAGAUGAUGCCCCGACACUGCGGAGAAACCUCAGAUGAUUGUCCAGGCAGCUGGCUGUUUCUGUCAACUCACAAUUUUUUGGAAGUUGCUUGCAUAUGCUUCCUGUUUUUAUUUUUUUGUUAGCUAAUAUUAUUUCCUUCUUGGGUCUCUGAGAGAGUUGAAGAUUAGUUAGUUAUAGUUGAAGAUUAAUUAGGAUAGAAAGUGAAUUAGAUACAAUAGGGUAGAUAAUGGAAUUAUUUUCUCUGAAUUUGUCAAAUACAAAUGAACUAGACAUUGUUUAGGUAUUUAUUACUUGUAUAUAUUGUAUAUAGUUAUUGUACUUUUGUAUAUAGGUUUUCUUAUGUUAAUUAUAAGCUUUUUCUUUUUUUCUUUUUAUUAAAAUAGAAAAAGGGAAAUAUGGUGAUAUUUUAUUUGUAUUAAAAUGUUAUUUGUAUGUUAAUAAAUAAAUUUGCCCGGGGGUCAGAGCUAUUAGCAAGCCAUAGGAAAGCAGGGCAGUGAUGGCAUACGCUGGUAAUCCCAGCACUUGGUAGGCAGAGCUGGGUAAGUCUCUGUGUGUUCUGGGAUACAGCCAGUAUUGGAUACACAUGCCUUUAAUCUCAAUACCGAUCAUGGAAAACCUGGAGGUCUAUACAGACAGGCUGUGAUGAGGCGGUCAUGUGGUUGGGUUUACAAUCAAUGAGAAGGCAGAACAGGAACUCUAUAUAAAGACUUUAACACACGGGAAGCUCUGGUUCGGAGAGGUAGGACCACCGCAGGAGGAAGGGUAAGGUUUUAGCUCUUAGCUCUGACCUCUUGGCUUUCUUCUUUGCA